GAUGAACGCUAGCGGCGGGCUUAAUACAUGCAAGUCAAGGGGUAGCAAUACACCGGCGUACGGGUGCGUAACGCGUAUGGAACCUGCCCUUAUCUGGGGGAUAACUCGGGGAAACUCGAGCUAAUACCGCAUAAGAUAGUAGAAUGGCAUCAUUCAGCUAUUAAAGAUUUAUCGGAUAAGGAUGGCCAUGCGUAAGAUUAGAUAGUUGGUGGGGUAACGGCUCACCAAGUCUACGAUCUUUAGGGGCUCUGAGAGGAGAAUCCCCCACACUGGCACUGAGAUACGGGCCAGACUCCUACGGGAGGCAGCAGUAGGGAAUAUUGGGCAAUGGGCGGAAGCCUGACCCAGCCACGCCGCGUGCAGGAAGAAGGCCCUCUGGGUUGUAAACUGCUUUUGAUUGGGAAGAAAGCAUCUCAUGCGUGGGAUUUUGACGGUACCAAUCGAAUAAGCCACGGCUAACUACGUGCCAGCCGCCGCCGUAAAAC
rnacentral:rRNA from 1 species